rnacentral:lncRNA from 1 species
UACCUUAAAAAAGCAAUUAAAAGAAUAUCAACAGCGGUUUGAAAAACGGUAAGCCCUAAAUACGAAGCAUUGUUGGUUUCUCCCCAAGCAAUUGGUGCAGUCUCCGUUUAUUCUCAGCAGCUUUUCAGCAUCUCCAGUCGAGUUGUUGGUUUCCCCAGUUGAGUUCGUAAUUGCCUCCCUCGAGUUGUAGGUGCGUUAUUGCAGCAGGUUGCAUAGAUUCAACAAAUUUU